rnacentral:rRNA from 1 species
CCUACGGGAGGCUGCAGUGAGGAAUAUUGGUCAAUGGGCGCAAGCCUGAACCAGCCAAGUCGCGUGAGGGAUGACUGCCCUACGGGUCGUAAACCUCUUUUAUAAAGGAAUAAAGUGCGGCACGUGUGCCUUUUUGUAUGUAUCUUAUGAAUAAGGAUUGGCUAACUCCGUGCCAGCCGCCGCGGUAAUACGGAGGAUCCGAGCGUUAUACGGAUUUAUUGGGUUUAAAGGGGGCGUAGGGGGGUUGUUAAGUCAGGUGUGAACGUUUGCGGCUCAACCGUAAAAUUGCCAUUGAUACUGGCAGCCUGGAGUACAGUUGAGGUAGGCGGAAUUCGUGGUGUAGCGGUGAAAUGCUUAGAUAUCACGAAGAACCCCGAUUGCGAAGGCAGCCUACUAAACUGCGACUGACACUGAUGCACGAAAGUGUGGGUAUCAAACAGGAUUAGAUACCCGAGUAGUC